GAUGAACGCUAGCGGCAGGCCUAAUACAUGCAAGUCGAACGAGAUUAAGAGGCUUGCUUCUUAUGAAAGUGGCGCACGGGUGCGUAACGCGUAUGCAACCUACCUUAAUCAGGGGGAUAGCCCGAAGAAAUUCGGAUUAAGACCGCAUAAAAACACAGGAUAGCAUUAUCCAAUGUUCAAAUAUUUAUAGGAUUAAGAUGGGCAUGCGUGUCAUUAGCUAGUUGGCGGGGUAACGGCCCACCAAGGCGACGAUGACUAGGGGAUCUGAGAGGAUGACCCCCCACACUGGUACUGGGACACGGACCAGACUCCUACGGGAGGCAGCAGUAAGGAAUAUUGGUCAAUGGAGGGAACUCUGAACCAGCCAUGCCGCGUGCAGGAAGACAGCCCUCUGGGUCGUAAACUGCUUUUAUUCGGGAAUAAACCUUUCUACGUGUAGGAAGCUGAAUGUACCGAAGGAAUAAGGAUCGGCUAACUCCGUG
rnacentral:rRNA from 1 species